rnacentral:misc_RNA from 1 species
CUUGGUUGUUUACAUUUUGA